AAAAGUUAGUUUAAGUUAAAACAUUAACUUGUCAAGUUAAAAAUAUUAAUUAAUACUUUUUA
rnacentral:tRNA from 1 species